AUGAGAUUUCCUUCACCUAGGGAUGUUGACAAGGCUUCUUUUGCUGAAACUAUGAAUAUUAAGAGCUGUGGUGCUGUGGUGAGUCUAAAAAAAUGGUCUGAAUCUGUGGGUGCUAAGGGUGUACUUAACACUGCUUGGGUCAAUGUUAGCAACAUUCCUUUGGAUAAAAGAUGUGAAAAAAAUAUUGCUUAUGUUGGAUCUCUGGUGGGUGUAACUCUUGACAUCGACAAAUCC
rnacentral:rRNA from 1 species